rnacentral:rRNA from 1 species
GGGUUGUGAGGUUAAGCGACUAAGCGUACACGGUGGAUGCCCUGGCAGUCAGAGGCGAUGAAGGACGUGCUAAUCUGCGAAAAGCGUCGGUAAGGUGAUAUGAACCGUUAUAGCCGGCGAUGUCCGAAUGGGGAAACCCAGUGCAAUUCGUUGCACUAUCGUUUGAUGAAUACAUAGUCAAACGAGGCGAACCGGGGGAACUGAAACAUCUAAGUACCCCGAGGAAAAGAAAUCAACCGAGAUUCCCCCAGUAGCGGCGAGCGAACGGGGAGCAGCCCGGAGUCUGAAUCAGCUUGUGUGUUAGUGGAAGCGUCUGGAAAGUCGCAGGGUACAGGGUGAUACUCCCGUACACUAAAACACACAGGCUGUGAACUCGAAGAGUAGGGCGGGACACGUGGUAUCCUGUCUGAAUAUGGGGGGACCAUCCUCCAAGGCUAAAUACUCCUGACUGACCGAUAGUGAACCAGUACCGUGAGGGAAAGGCGAAAAGAACCCCGGCGAGGGGAGUGAAAAAGAACCUGAAACCGUGUACGUACAAGCAGUAGGAGCCCCACCACCAAAGCGUUUCGCUUUGCGUGGUGCGCAAAAUGCGUAACGACAGCAUGAUGGACGGUUAACGGAGCGUCAGCGACGUUCAACCUCAAAAAUCAGGCAGUGGAGCGUUUUGGGGUGGGGUGACUGCGUACCUUUUGUAUAAUGGGUCAGCGACUUAUAUUCUGUAGCAAGGUUAACCGUAUAGGGGAGCCGCAGGGAAACCGAGUCUUAACUGGGCGUUAAGUUGCAGGGUAUAGACCCGAAACCCGGUGAUCUAGCCAUGGGCAGGUUGAAGGUUGGGUAACACUAACUGGAGGACCGAACCGACUAAUGUUGAAAAAUUAGCGGAUGACUUGUGGCUGGGGGUGAAAGGCCAAUCAAACCGGGAGAUAGCUGGUUCUCCCCGAAAGCUAUUUAGGUAGCGCCUCGUGAACUCAUCUUCGGGGGUAGAGCACUGUUUCGGCUAGGGGGUCAUCCCGACUUACCAACCCGAUGCAAACUACGAAUACCGAAGAAUGUUAUCACGGGAGACACACGGCGGGUGCUAACGUCCGUCGUGAAGAGGGAAACAACCCAGACCGCCAGCUAAGGUCCCAAAGUCAUGGUUAAGUGGGAAACGAUGUGGGAAGGCCCAGACAGCCAGGAUGUUGGCUUAGAAGCAGCCAUCAUUUAAAGAAAGCGUAAUAGCUCACUGGUCGAGUCGGCCUGCGCGGAAGAUGUAACGGGGCUAAACCAUGCACCGAAGCUGCGGCAGCGACACUAUGUGUUGUUGGGUAGGGGAGCGUUCUGUAAGCCGUUGAAGGUGGCCUGUGAGGGUUGCUGGAGGUAUCAGAAGUGCGAAUGCUGACAUAAGUAACGAUAAUGCGGGUGAAAAACCCGCACGCCGGAAGACCAAGGGUUCCUGUCCAACGUUAAUCGGGGCAGGGUGAGUCGACCCCUAAGGCGAGGCCGAAAGGCGUAGUCGAUGGGAAACAGGUUAAUAUUCCUGUACUUGGUGUUACUGCGAAGGGGGGACGGAGAAGGCUAUGUUGGCCGGGCGACGGUUGUCCCGGUUUAAGCAUGUAGGCGGAUGUUCCAGGUAAAUCCGGAACGUUACUAACGCUGAGGUGUGAUGACGAGGCACUACGGUGCUGAAGUGACAAAUGCCCUGCUUCCAGGAAAAGCCUCUAAGCAUCAGGUAACAUCAAAUCGUACCCCAAACCGACACAGGUGGUCAGGUAGAGAAUACCAAGGCGCUUGAGAGAACUCGGGUGAAGGAACUAGGCAAAAUGGUGCCGUAACUUCGGGAGAAGGCACGCUGAUGGUAGGUGAAGUGACUUGCUCAUGGAGCUGAAAUCAGUCGAAGAUACCAGCUGGCUGCAACUGUUUAUUAAAAACACAGCACUGUGCAAACACGAAAGUGGACGUAUACGGUGUGACGCCUGCCCGGUGCCGGAAGGUUAAUUGAUGGGGUUAUCCUCACGGAGAAGCUCUUGAUCGAAGCCCCGGUAAACGGCGGCCGUAACUAUAACGGUCCUAAGGUAGCGAAAUUCCUUGUCGGGUAAGUUCCGACCUGCACGAAUGGCGUAAUGAUGGCCAGGCUGUCUCCACCCGAGACUCAGUGAAAUUGAACUCGCUGUGAAGAUGCAGUGUACCCGCGGCAAGACGGAAAGACCCCGUGAACCUUUACUAUAGCUUGACACUGAACACUGGUCCUUGAUGUGUAGGAUAGGUGGGAGGCUUUGAAGUGUGGACGCCAGUCUGCAUGGAGCCGUCCUUGAAAUACCACCCUUUAAUGGCUGGUGUUCUAACGUGGGCCCGUGAUCCGGGUUGCGGACAGUGUCUGGUGGGUAGUUUGACUGGGGCGGUCUCCUCCUAAAGAGUAACGGAGGAGCACGAAGGUCAGCUAAUCCUGGUCGGACAUCAGGAGGUUAGUGCAAUGGCAUAAGCUGGCUUGACUGCGAGCGUGACGGCGCGAGCAGGUGCGAAAGCAGGUCAUAGUGAUCCGGUGGUUCUGAAUGGAAGGGCCAUCGCUCAACGGAUAAAAGGUACUCCGGGGAUAACAGGCUGAUACCGCCCAAGAGUUCAUAUCGACGGCGGUGUUUGGCACCUCGAUGUCGGCUCAUCACAUCCUGGGGCUGAAGUAGGUCCCAAGGGUAUGGCUGUUCGCCAUUUAAAGUGGUACGCGAGCUGGGUUUAGAACGUCGUGAGACAGUUCGGUCCCUAUCUGCCGUGGGCGCUGGAGAAUUGAGGGGGGCUGCUCCUAGUACGAGAGGACCGGAGUGGACGCAUCACUGGUGUUCGGGUUGUCAUGCCAAUGGCAUUGCCCGGUAGCUAAAUGCGGAAGAGAUAAGUGCUGAAAGCAUCUAAGCACGAAACUUGCCCCGAGAUGAGUUCUCCCUGACUCCUUGAGAGUCCUGAAGGAACGUUGAAGACGACGACGUUGAUAGGCCGGGUGUGUAAGCGCAGCGAUGCGUUGAGCUAACCGGUACUAAUGAACCGUGAGGCUUAACCUUACAACGCCGAAG